CUACGGGACGCACCAGUGAGGAAUAUUGCACAAUGGGGGGAACCCUGAUGCAGCAACGCCGCGUGGAGGAUGACGCAUUUCGGUGUGUAAACUCCUUUUAUAUGUCGAGAAAAUGACGGUAGCAUAUGAAUAAGCACCGGCUAACUCCGUGCCAGCAGCCGCGGUAAUACGGAGGGUGCAAGCGUUACUCGGAAUCACUGGGCGUAAAGGACGCGUAGGCGGGCUUGUAAGUCAGGUGUGAAAUCCUACAGCUUAACUGUAGAACUGCACUUGAAACUUCUAAUCUAGAGUAUGGGAGGGGGAGAUGGAAUUAGUGGUGUAGGGGUAAAAUCCGUAGAUAUCACUAGGAAUACCUAAAGCGAAGGCGAUCUCCUGGAACAUUACUGACGCUAAGGCGUGAAAGCGUGGGGAGCAAACAGGAUUAGAUACCCCGGUAGUC
rnacentral:rRNA from 1 species